rnacentral:rRNA from 1 species
GAUGAACGCUGGCGGCGUGCCUAAUACAUGCAAGUCGAGCGAACAGACGAGGAGCUUGCGCCUCUGACGUUAGCGGCGGACGGGUGAGUAACACGUGUAUAACGUACCUAUAAGACUGGGAUAACUUCGGGAAACCGGAGCUAAUACCGGAUAAUAUCUUGAACCGCAUGGUUCAAUAGUGAAAGACGGUGUUGCUGUCACUUAUAGAGGGAUCCGGGCCGCAUUAGCUAGUUGGUAAGGUAACGGCUUACCAAGGCAACGAUGCGUAGCCGACCUGAGAGACUGAUAGGCCACCCGAGAGCGGAGACAGCCACCAUGCGACUGAGAGAGGCACCAGUAGGGAACCGUAGGCAAUGGGCGAGAGCAUGACGGAGCAACCGCGCGUGAGUUAUGAAGGUCUUCCGAUCGUAAUACUCUGUUAUGGGGGAAGAACAGAUGUGUACGUUACCGUGCACUUCUUGACGGUACCUGAUCAGAAAGCACCGGCUAACUACGUG